GUCCAAUUGGAAGUUGGAACUUGGCAAUGUGGAAGAACUUACACCUUGGAAAUCGGGCAAAUGCUACAAAGCCAAGGCUGGAGUGCUAUUUUUGUUAAUUGUUAGAUAAAAGAAAGAAAAUGUGUGAGGCACUGGGUUCGAUCCUCAGCACAGAAGCACAAAAGGAAUGCCUCUAAACCAACGAGAAAAAGGCAGGAGAUCCAGCAGAGAAAAGGGGAAAAGAUGAGGCAGUGCACAGAAGCAUGCCAGAUGCUGGAUUCAGUAAUCUGAAGAAUCUGAAUUAAAACAAGAUGUUGGGUUGAGAGGUGGAUCAGUGGUGGAGCACUUACCUAACAUACACAAGUCCCUGGGUUCCGUCCACAGCACUGUAAAGAGAGAAAGAAGAUGCCCAUUAUAACCAUCAGAUUAUACAAUUAAAAAGUCAUCGAUCUUAAAAACAAAAUACAUGAAUGUCCAAUUGUUCCAAUACCAUUUGUUGAGAAGACUAUCUCCACUGAACUGCUCUUGAACCUUAGCCAUCUAUUGUCCAUACAUGUGUGAUUUCAUUUCUGGAGGUUUCUGUCUUGUUAUAUUCAUCUAGCUUUAUGCCAGUACCACAUUGUCUUUUCUUAAAAUACUUUUAUUUAUUUUUAUGUGGUGCUGAGGAUUUAACCAAGUGCCUCGCACAGGCUAGACAAGUGCUCUACCCCUGAGCCACAACACCAAUGCCCCCACACUGUCUUGAUUAUGAAAACUUCAGACUAAGUCUUGAAAUCAGGCAGUGGUAGUUCUCCAAAUUUGUUCUUCAACAAAGUUGUUUUGGUAUUUUAGAUCCUCUGCAUUUCCAUAUAAACUUAGAAAAAAAAGCUCUUCUGGCAUUUUGGCUGGGAUUGUGUUGAAUCUGUGGAUCAACGGGAAUGUAGGGAGAAUCAACGCGAAUGUAGGGAGAAUCAACGCUGGUCUUGUGAAUGUGGUAUAUAUGUUUAUUUUGGUUCCUUUAAAAUGUGUCAGUACCAUUUUGUAUUUUCCAUUGUAUCAGUCUUGCACAUCUUUUGUUUCUAAGGAUUUCACUUGGAUUGCAAGUGAAAUUCUAGCUUCUGAGUAUCUGUUGCUAGUUUACGGAAACAUGGUGCAUGUUUGUAUGUAGGGUUUUGCACCCUGCACCCUUACUAGCCUCACAUGUUCUAGUAGUAUUACAGAGUCUGGGCCAGAGGCCUGACCAAGGAUCCCACAGAUCUGGUCUGGCCACUACCCCAAACCAAGCAGAAAAGGCAGUGGUGACGCACACAAAGGAGCUUUCAUCAGAACAGCUACAUUUAGGAGACGGGGACCUGUGUCCUUAGCCCUGUUGGUUUGGUUUGGUUUGGUUUGGUUUAGCAGUACUGAGGAUCAAACCCAGGGUGCUCUAUCUGUGAGCUGCAUUUCCAGCCCUUUUUAUUUUUUUGAGACAGGGCCUUGCAAGUUGCUGAUCAUCUUGAUCAGGUGAGUUCAGUGUGUCUCAGGAUUGGUGGUGGUGGUGGGGUCUUGUCUAAGAUUAGAAAGUUGCUAUUGCCUGGAGGCAGUCUUAACUCAUCAGAUGUUUGUCAGACCUGGUUCCUGGAAUCCCAGGUAGCUCAGAGCAAAUGGGAUGGAUGCAAAGUGGAGGUAGAGAGGCCAAGCCCUGUGUGUGUGUGUGUGUGUGUGUGUGUAUGAGUGUAUGACUCGCUGCAAGGGAUCAAAUCCAGGGGCAUGCUAUCACCUAGCCACAUCCUCAUCAGCCCUUUUUAGAUUUUAUUUUGAGGGGGGGUCUCAUUAUGUUGCCCAGGCUGGCCUUGAAUCUGCUAUCCUGCUGCCUCAGCUACCUGAGUAGCAGGGCUUACAGGUGUAGCCACCCCACCUGGAACAAGGUCUUUAGGCCUGCCUUUAGCCACCCAUCAGACAUUUGCAGACCUAGAUGAAGCAUCAGAGCCCUGUCACAGGCUCUUUUUUGGUAGAUCCUGUUAGUUUCCUGUGAAGACGGUCAUAUCACCUGUGAAUGUGUUCUUGAGGCCUCAGGUGUGCAGAAGCCAGGACAGUGAGUGGCACCAGGCUUCUGCAAAAAGAAAAGCUCCUUUGGGCAGCUUUAUUUUUUAAGCUAAGUCUUGCCCAUGUCCCAUGCAGGCGGUCGAGUGGGAGUGGGAGUUCUGCGUGGAAUGAACUGGCUGUGAAAUAAAGCUAAGAAAAGAGGGUGGUGAAGAAACCACACUGCACAAGAGUAAUUUUGAAAAGUGAGGGCAGGACGGCUCUAUGACCUUAGGGGUCCACCUUCUACACUGGAAAUAGACCAAGCGAGCCACUUUUAGGGAACAGAAUGUUCUUCACCAAAUAAGGCAGGAGGUGGGCUGUCCAAACCCAGUGGGUUACUCCCAAUUCCAGAGCUACAGAGCUGUCCCAUUGGUAGAGUAGGGAACAGAUCUCACGCCUUGGGCAGUCUGCACACGGGAAUUCCGGGAUCAUUCCCAAGGGGAGACCCAAGUUCUCCAUGGCUCAGUACUGAGUAAAAGAAACUCAGGUGGCUUCACAGGUCAUGUACCACAGCUAAGGACCAAAUAAGGGCCAAAAAGCUUUUUUGUUCAAUGUUUUAGCUUUAAGGCUUAAUGGACUGGUAAGGAGGCCGGGGGCCUCCCUGUUGGAUGCUUAGUGAGGAAAUUGACAGGAAGUGGGGAAAGUUGGUGCAGUGCUAGCUUCUUUGGGGGAGUUAUGUUCUAUUCACAGGAUUUGGAGCUUGUCACAUCUUUGAGUGGACACUGUGUGCAUAUGGACAUGUCCACUCUUGAAAAGUCAGUUCUACACCUCAGAUCAGUGAGAGACCUAGAGGCUUGUCUUGAAGUUCAUCCAAUGAUACUAGGGAUAAAAGCUAUAUCCCCAGCCCUGGCAUGACAGACUCCUCAUGGCAGCCUGUGCUUGCUGCCCACAUAGCUACCACUCUGCCACUUCACUGCUCCCCUACCCCUUCUCAGCAGGGACAGUGUGCUGGCUGCAGGGCUUGGUGGCCAGGGAGCCAUGUCAGUAAUGGUGGUGGAUAGUCACGUCUUCGUAUAGAAGGUGGAUACCUAUACCCGGUGAGUGGUAGGGGGUGGAUACCUCUACCUGGUGAGUGGUAGCAGGGUGGACACCUCUAUCCUGUGAGUGGUAGGUAGUGGACACCUCCACCUGGUGAGUGGAACAUUGUAUAGUCUCUCUUUCCCUGUGAUCAUUAGUAUCAUUUUUUAAUAUAGUUUUGUCCCUUUUUAUUACGUUAACC
rnacentral:lncRNA from 1 species